GGUAAACCUGGGAAACCCGAAAGUUCGAAAGGGGAGAUUCAUCGUCAGUGGCGCUGGCUUCGCGGUGGUUGGCAAUGCCGUAGACUUCGGUCCCUCGGCACGUCUCCGCUGUGCUAUGUCCGGUGUCGUCGUCGUGCACUUCUCCCUUAGUAGGACGUCGCGACCCGCUGGGUGUCGGACUACGGCCUGGAUGGUUGCCCGUCUCGUUGCUACGGCGUUCGAGAUGGACCUCUAGUGUUUCUGUCUGACUGCCCGGCGGUAUUUUGCGAUAGUAUUUGGCCGCAAUUGGCAGAAUUGCGUCAUUGGCCCGUGGCAAGCGCGGUCAGUGUCCCUUGGGUAUGGACGUAGAGCCGCCCCUGGGCCUGGCUAGCUGUUGGCUAACGGUGUCCUCUGACAGGCCGCUUACUUGUUUGCGACGCAUUUGCUUUGGGUACUCCCGGGACCCGUCUUGAAACACGGACCAAGGAGUCUAACAUGUGCGCGAGUCAUUGGGAUAAUAAAACCUAAAGGCGAAAUGAAAGUAAAUGUCGUCCUUGCGUCGACAGAGGGAUGAUGGUCAGCCACAUCGGCAGACCCGCACUCCCGGGGUGUCUUAUUCUCGGCGAGAAGAGGCACACCUUGAGCGUACACGUUGGGACCCGAAAGAUGGUGAACUAUGCCUGGUCAGGACGAAGUCAGGGGAAACCCUGAUGGAGGUUCGUAGCGAUUCUGACGUGCAAAUCGAUCGUCGGAACUGGGUAUAGGGGCGAAAGACUAAUCGAACCAUCUAGUAGCUGGUUCCCUCCGAAGUUUCCCUCAGGAUAGCUGGCACUCUGAGACCUUUCGAACGCGAGUCCCAUCUGGUAAAGCGAAUGAUUAGAGGCCUUGGGGUCGAAACGACCUCAACCUAUUCUCAAACUUUAAAUGGGUGAGAUCUCUGGCUUUUUUGAAUUUGUGAAGCCGGGGACGGACUCAUAUGGGAUCGGAGAUGCCCAGUGGGCCAUUUUUGGUAAGC
rnacentral:rRNA from 1 species